GAGACAAGCUGCAGUGGAGCUCCAUUUACAUUGGUCACUAUGCACUCCCCUCCCAACUCCAGAAAGCCUGUGGCCCCUCCCAUGCUUUGGCUGCCAUCUUGGAAAGGAGGGUGAGAAAGUAGAGCAAUCUGAAACACACAGUUGUCCAAAGAAUCGAGUUAGGUCCCCGAAACAGAUACAAUGAGCUUGUCUCACUUUAUUUUAGGUUAAACUAAGAUUUCUUUUUCCCCUUUACUCAAGAUGUAGACACCUGAUGAGAAACAGGUCAAGAGAAAUCUAGGAGCUCCCUUGCUUUUGGACAUCCCUAUUAGAGGAUGAGGAAAUUUGUAAUUCCAUUAAGUAUUUUUUGAGCUUUUCGACACUUUUAAUUAUUAUUGGGAAAGAAGUCAGAGAAGUCCCUAAAGCCACAAAGAAUUAUUAAUGUUUUUGUUUGUUUGGGGAUUUUAAGCUCCAGUAUUGUGAUAUUUUUUUUGGUAAAGCAUCAACUGUAAUAGCUUUGCAAUGCAACGUUAUCAAAUUAAACAAAAAGGGACGUAAGUAGUUACAUGAACUGCUCGUUAAAGCUGACUACCUUUUUAAAAAAUGCCAGGAUAGCUCUGGAGGGUAGAGAAUAACCCAGUUGAAAGUCUAUAAGCAAUGCUGUCCACACCCCGAAUAGACUGGCAAAAAAAGCCUCUAUCCUGUCAGCCACUGGCAUCAACCUCAUCCCAAUCAGAUAACUAAAAACCAGGUCUGCCGUACGUGUCAUUCAAAGCAUGGCUCUCGGCAAAAUGGAAAGAAGCAGAGGCUGCUAAGGGAGAGACGUGAAGGUCAAGGCUGAGCUCCCGACAGCUGCCCCUCCAGCCUUCCCCCACCUCCUAUAAAGAGACGCCAUGGGCUCUUGGUCCAGAGACUCAAAUUCAAGAGAAGAGAAGAGGCAACAUUUUCAGUGAUGAUGCCCAAGUUGAACAAAGAGUGGUCCAGGAGAAGGAACCAACAAAAAAUCUGAUCUACCUCCAGAGCUUAGGAACUCAGCAAAUUCUCCUAGAUCAUGAUACCUCAUUUCUGAGACCUUCAUCUUUACCAAAUCUUUCGAUCCAAAGCAAACGAAUACUGAAAAUGCAUGU